rnacentral:rRNA from 1 species
CAUAGCGACUAUCGUGGCAUAUCAAUAAGCGGAGGAAAAGAAACUAACUAGGAUUCCCUCAGUAACGGCGAGUGAAGCGGGAAGAGCUCAAAUUUGAAAUCUUCAAGGUUUUACCUUGACGAAUUGUAGUUUAAAGAAGUGUUUUCUGUUGGAAUUUUGGUAAAAGUUCUUUGGAAAAAGACAUCAAAGAGGGUGAGAAUCCCGUAUUUGACCAUUAUUUCCAGCUUUGUGAUACACUUUCAAAGAGUCGGAUUGUUUGGGAAUGCAGUCCAAAAUGGGUGGUAAAUUUCAUCUAAAGCUAAAUAUUGGCGAGAGACCGAUAGCGAACAAGUACCGUGAGGGAAAGAUGAAAAGAACUUUGAAAAGAGAGUUAAACAGUACGUGAAAUUGUCAAAAGGGAAGCGUUUGACACCAGUGUUGUUUUUCUCGAAAAUCAAUUAAAAAUGAUUGGAUUUUGUGUUGUAUUGACUUUAUCAGCUUUCUGCACUCUUUUCCUGUCUUUUUUAAUGCACUUUUCGUUUAACAAGUCAACAUCAAUUUCUUUUGUUGUAAAAGAGGUCAUUGGAAGGUGGCUUUCUUUUCGGAGAAAGUGUUUAUAGCCUUGUGCCUCUGCAAUCGGAGAGAUUGAGGUCUGCAGCGUAGAUCCUUCGGGGUUAGAUACAUUUGUGCUAAGUUAUAGCCUUUCAUAGACAACUUGUUGACUAUGAUUAGUCAUUGUAGCUUACUCGCUUAUGCUAUUUUACCUACGCUUAGGAUGUUGAUAUGCAUGACUGAUAU